rnacentral:rRNA from 1 species
UACAGAGGUCUCGAGCGUUAAUCGGAGUCACUGGGCUUAAAGGGUGCGUAGGCGGAUCUGUAAGUGCUUUGUGAAAUCCCAUGGCUCAACCAUGGAAUUGCUCGGCAGACUGCAGGUCUUGAGGUCGGUAGGGGCUGCUGGAACUCUAGGUGGAGCGGUGAAAUGCGUAGAUAUCUAGAGGAACGCCGAAGGUGAAGACAGGCAGCUGGGCCGAUUCUGACGCUGAGGCACGAAAGCGUGGGGAGCAAACGGG